rnacentral:misc_RNA from 1 species
ACAUCUCAACGCUUGAUGGGUUCUUGUAACCCGUUCAGUGGUUGGACUUUGAAGGUUGCCGGUGUCAAAGCCAGCUCCUUUUAAAUGCAUGAGCAAGGACUAUUCCGAAUCGGCUUCGGUUUGAUAAAUUUGACUUAUCUGAUGCUGUCGCUGAGGAACUAUGGUCGACCUGCUUCUAAUUGUCUUCGGACUGUCUCCUUGUGAGGCAACUACAUUGAC